GACGAACGCUGGCGGCGUGCUUAACACAUGCAAGUCGAACGAUGAAGCCGGGGCUUUGUCUGGUGGUUUAGUGGCGAACGGGUGAGUAACACGUGAGUAACCUGCCCUUGACUCUGGGAUAAGUUCUGGAAACUAGGUCUAAUACCGGAUAGGAGCUCCUGCUGCAUGAUGUGGGGUGGAAAGUUUUGUCGGUGGGGGAUGGACUCGCGGCCUAUCAGCUUGUUGGUGAGGUAGUGGCUUACCAAGGCUUGGACGGGUAGCCGGCCUGAGAGGGUGACCGGACUCAGACUGACACAGGGACCAGCCUCAUACGGGAGGCAGCAAUGGGGAAGAAUGAUUACUGGGCGAGCGGCUGCUGCAGGCACGAAGCGUGCGGGAUGAAGGACGUCGGGUUGUAAAUAGCUUUUAUUAGGGAGGAAGGACGUCGGAGUGACGGUAACUGCUGAAAAAGAACCGGCUAACUACGUG
rnacentral:rRNA from 1 species